rnacentral:rRNA from 1 species
AUGACAACAGUGGAUUUGAAAAAUCUUGGGUACACUGACGAACCGUUCGUCCUAGCCAAUGAUGUGGCACAGGUUAUCUAUGUGAAGGACAUGUCUACCAAACCGAGAAAAAGAAAAGAUAAGGAAGCGAAUACAUCAUACGAUGAGCCAAAGCACCACAUAGUUCUUUCAAGAAAAAGGGACAUCCUGGGAGUGGACGGCAAGACAGACAUGUCUGAAGAUUAUGAAAAGUUUCAUGAAAUUCCUCCCUUCAAUGUCAAGGCUGACCCAAGCAUCCUGAUAAACAAUGAAGAUUAUCCAUGGUUACGGCGCAAUAAGCAAAUGACACAAGCGAAGAAAAAGUGA